UCAUAGAAUUUUUUAAAAUUCAUGAUGUCGUAAGGGAAAAUAAUGAUAAUACCUUACUAUGAGUGUCGUCCAAAUCUGGUGCCAGAAGACUCGGUAAGACCAGAGACGCAAACGUUAAUCAUCAUAAACAGGCGUAAAGGGUUUGUAGGCAGCUUUUAUAGGAUUAUUAUAAAAAGGUAAUCUAAAUUAAAAGCUAGAAUCAAAAAGAGGUUAUAGUGUAUAACGCCUAGAGGAGGGCUGAUAUCCGUAGAUCCUAGGCAGAAUACUCAGGGCGAAGGCCACUCUCCACUAAUGAUUGACGCUGAGAAACGAAGGUUAGGGUAGGAAAUAGGAUUAGAUACCCCGGUACUCCUUUCUGUAAACGAUGAAUGGUAGUCAUUAGUCAAAAUAACUAGAGGCGAAGUUAACACAAUAACCAUUCCGCCUUGUGAGUACUGCUGCAAAGUAGAAAACAAAAAAAUUAGUCGGUCUCGAAGCAAACGGAGUGAAGCAUGUUAUUUA
rnacentral:rRNA from 1 species